rnacentral:rRNA from 1 species
GUUGGUGUUGAUGACGCUGAGGGUCCACCUGUUCCCAUACCGAACACAGAAGUUAAGCUCAGUGGUGCCGAAAAUACUUGGCUGGUGACGGCUCGGAAAGAUAGGGAGAUGCCAACA